rnacentral:rRNA from 1 species
ACUGGAAACGGUAGCUAAUACCGCAUAACGUCGCAAGACCAAAGAGGGGGACCUUCGGGCCUCUUGCCAUCGGAUGUGCCCAGAUGGGAUUAGCUUGUUGGUGGGGUAACGGCUCACCAAGGCGACGAUCCCUAGCUGGUCUGAGAGGAUGACCAGCCACACUGGAACUGAGACACGGUCCAGACUCCUACGGGAGGCAGCAGUGGGGAAUAUUGCACAAUGGGCGCAAGCCUGAUGCAGCCAUGCCGCGUGUAUGAAGAAGGCCUUCGGGUUGUAAAGUACUUUCAGCGGGGAGGAAGGGAGUAAAGUUAAUACCUUUACUCAUUGACGUUACCCGCAGAAGAAGCACCGGCUAACUCCGUGCCAGCAGCCGCGGUAAUACGGAGGGUGCAAGCGUUAAUCGGAAUUACUGGGCGUAA